rnacentral:rRNA from 1 species
GUUUAUCAAAAACAUGUCUUUUUAAAUUAUAUAAAAAGUCUAACCUGCCCCCUGAAUUAUUUUAAAUGGCCGCAGUAUUUUAACUGUGCAAAGGUAGCAUAAUCAUUAGUCUUUUAAUUGAGGGCUAGAAUGAAUGGUUGGAUGAAAUAUAAACUGUUUCAUAAAAAUUUAUAAUAGAAUUUUAUUUUUUAGUUAAAAAGCUAAAAUUUUAUUAAAAGACGAGAAGACCCUAUAAAUCUUUAUAUUUUGUUGGGGUGAUAUUAAAAUUUGAUUAACUUUUAAUUAGCAAUUUACAUUAAUUAAUGAUUUAUUGAUCCAUAUAUUAUGAUUAUGAAUUUAAGUUACUUUAGGGAUAACAGCGUAAUUUUUUUUGAGAGUUCACAUUAAUAAAAAAGAUUGCGACCUCGAUGU